CAAAAAGCCUAUUGUUUUUUUUUUUUUUUUAAUUUAAAAAAGAAUAUUAGCCAAGUUAAUCAUGAAUAAUAUUCCCCAUUCCCCCGCAACUAAGCGUAAAGCUUGCGCUAGGAGUAGAUAUGACA